UUAACAAAAGUGCUUAUGACCGUUCGUUAUGCUACAAAAGUACUCCUCAACAUGCCCGAAGGGUACCAAAAGCACACAGCCCUCACCGUCACAACCCACACCAACACCACCAUUAAGUCCAAGAGAACCCACUAAAAACUCAUCAAAACCUCUUUUCCAAUUUUAAUGGCGUCCGAAAAAUCACCACUCUUUGAGUGGCAUUUCAGUGAUCUCAACCACUCCAACUUCCACAUCGACAGCCGAGGACUCUUACUAGUCCUCUUCUUCUUCUCUCUGAUCUUCAUCAUCACUACCCUAUCCUUCUAUGCUCGUUGGGCUUGUAUCAGAGGUCGUCUCUCAACAACAACCUCUAGGGCUACAAAUAUUGCAUCUUUGCCACAAGUUCAUCAGUCGCUAGGGCUCGAUGCUGCCGCCAUUGAUAACUUGCCGGUUGUCUUGCAUCGAUCGGUGGAGAAGAGAAGGUUAAGGUGUUGCCAAAGUGCCAACAUACAUAUCAUUCUGAGUGUGUGGAUAAGUGGCUGACCGUUCAGUCUAGCUGCCCGCUUUGUAGAUUGUCCCUCCGAGUCAUCACCUCUCUUUAGUUAAUAAUAUGACCUCCUCAUCGAUUUUAUAUCAUAAUAUUUUCAUGUAUAUGACUGGAUAAUUACACAAUUUAAUUUUAUAAUAAUUACAGGUUUUAUACAAAAUUCACCCUUAUGAUCUGUUAUAGAUAAUUCGUAUUUUUGUGUAAUUCUAUUGCCAUCUCAUAUAUGCAUUUUGUAAAAAGAGAAUCAAAUACAAGACCGUAGAUACCUUCGUCUUUCUACCAUGAACUACAACGGCCCAUGGGCGUCGCCAAUGGCUGAGAGUCCCACUUUGCAGCUAGAUAAAAUGAUCUCUUCAAUGAAUCAUUCUCUUCCAGAUUCUGCGUACAUAUAUGACUGGAUAACUUUGAGACUGAGUUUUAUGCAAAAUUUACUCAUGUUUUGCAUGUACGUAAUUAUACUUUCGCGUAAUUCUAUUGCCAUUUAAUUCAUGCAUUUGUGAAAAGAGAGAAAUGAGUACAUGAUCUCUGAUGCAGUGUUGCAUAUUAUUUCAGUCGUGAGCUACAAAUAUUUCAUUUUGCUUACCUCAAUCACUCAGUUACUCAUCAGUGUCUUCAAACAGCAAUACAUGUCUGCUCAAGGACCUACCGGUUUAGGUAAAUAUCUAAUGCGUUUGCCGACCGGGGAAGUUAUUUUUGGAGGAGAAACUAUGUGUUUUUGGGAUCUGCGUGCUCCCUAGUUAGAACCCUUAAGGGGUCCUAAUGGUUUGGACUUGAGUAGGUUGAAAAAAGACAUACAGCCUUGGCAAGAACGAUGUUCUGCGGAAUAUAUGACUCAUGCUCCUUUAGGUUCUUUAAAUUCCAUGGGUGGCGUAGCUACCGAGAUCAACGCAGUAAAUUAUGUUUCUCCUAGAAGUUAGUUAGCUACUUCUCAUUUUGUUCUAGGAUUCUUCCUAUUCAUAGGUCAUUUAUGGCACGUGGGAAGGGCUCGUGCAGCUACAACAGGAUUUGAAAAAGGAAUUGGUCGUGAUUUUUAACCUGUUCUUUCCAUGACUCCUCUUAACUGAGACAGAGAUCCAAUGCUUGAAGUA